GACGAACGCUGGCGGCGUGCUUAACACAUGCAAGUCGAACGAAGUGGCGAACGGGUGAGUAACGCGUAAUCAACCUGCCCUUCCGAGGGGGCCAACAGUUGGAAACGACUGCUAAUACCGCAUACUGAAGGAGGGGCUUGCGUCUGAUUAGCUAGUUGGAGGGGUACCGGCCCACCAAGGCGAUGAUCAGUAGCCGGUAUGAGAGGAUGAACGGCCCAAGUGGGAAGGAGAAACGGCCCAGACUCCUACGGGACGCAGCAGUGGGGAAUCUUCCGCAAUGGACGAAAGUCUGACGGAGCAACGCCGCGUGAGGGAUGACGGCCUUCGGGUUGUAAAGCUCUGUUAAUCGGGACGCGGUACCGGAAUAGAAAGCCACGGCUAACUACGUGCCAGCAGCCGCGGUAAUAC
rnacentral:rRNA from 1 species